CUACGGGGCGCACCAGUGGGGAAUAUUGCACAAUGGACGAAAGUCUGAUGCAGCAACGCCGCGUGGAGGAUGACACAUUUCGGUGCGUAAACUCCUUUUAUAUAGGAAGAUGAUGACGGUACUAUAUGAAUAAGCACCGGCUAACUCCGUGCCAGCAGCCGCGGUAAUACGGAGGGUGCAAGCGUUACUCGGAAUCACUGGGCGUAAAGAGCGUGUAGGCGGAUAGAUAAGUCAGGAGUGAAAUCCUAUGGCUCAACCAUAGAACUGCUCUUGAAACUGUCAAUCUAGAAUGUGGGAGAGGUAGAUGGAAUUUCUGGUGUAGGGGUAAAAUCCGUAGAGAUCAGAAGGAAUACCGAUUGCGAAGGCGGUCUACUGGAACAUAAUUGACGCUGAGACGCGAAAGCGUGGGGAGCAAACAGGAUUAGAUACCCGGUAGUC
rnacentral:rRNA from 1 species